rnacentral:rRNA from 1 species
AACGAACGCUGGCGGCAUGCCUAACACAUGCAAGUCGAACGAGAUCUUCGGGUCUAGUGGCGCACGGGUGCGUAACGCGUGGGAAUCUGCCCUCAGGUUCGGAAUAACCAUUGGAAACGAUGGAUAAUACCGGAUGAUGACGUUAAGUCCAAAGAUUUAUCGCCUGAGGAUGAGCCCGCGUAGGAUUAGCUAGUUGGUGUGGUAAAGGCGCACCAAGGCGACGAUCCUUAGCUGGUCUGAGAGGAUGAUCAGCCACACUGGGACUGAGACACGGCCCAGACUCCUACGGGAGGCAGCAGUGGGGAAUAUUGGACAAUGGGCGAAAGCCUGAUCCAGCAAUGCCGCGUGAGUGAUGAAGGCCUUAGGGUUGUAAAGCUCUUUUACCCGGGAUGAUAAUGACAGUACCGGGAGAAUAAGCUCCGGCUAACUCCGU